rnacentral:rRNA from 1 species
CCAGACUCCUACGGGAGGCAGCAGUGGGGAAUAUUGGGCAAUGGGCGCAAGCCUGACCCAGCAACGCCGCGUGAAGGAAGAAGGCUUUCGGGUUGUAAACUUCUGUUAAGAGGGAAGAGUAGAAGACGGUACCUCUUGAAUAAGCCACGGCUAACUACGUGCCAGCAGCCGCGGUAAUACGUAGGGGGCAAGCGUUAUCCGGAUUUACUGGGUGUAAAGGGAGCGUAGACGGCGAUGCAAGUCUGAAGUGAAAGGCGGGGGCCCAACCCCCGGACUGCUUUGGAAACUGUAGAGCUGGAGUGCAGGAGAGGUAAGUGGAAUUCCUAGUGUAGCGGUGAAAUGCGUAGAUAUUAGGAGGAACACCAGUGGCGAAGGCGGCCUGCUGGACAUUAACUGACGCUGAGGCGCGAAAGCGUGGGGAGCAAACAGGAUUAGAUACCCUUG